GGGUUUAUGGCAAGAUAUAGUAAAGAAAAAAUAUCUGAAAAAGCCUUGCCUGUCCCUGCUUAAGAAAAGUCCUAAGAAUUCCCCUGUGUGGAAUCAACUCAUUUCAGUUAAAGAUCUCUACACUUCUGGGAGAAAAAUUUCUGUGGGAAGAGGUGAUUCCACCAGUUUUUGGAAUGAUAGUUGGAUUGGUGAUACCCCCCUGAAGGAGAAAUUCCCUCAACUCUUUGACAUUUGCAACAACCCUGAAGCUACGGUUGCUGAAAUGGCUCAGCAAGGCUGGAGAUUAUCACUGCGAAGAUGGUUAAAUGAGGAGUUACAAAUACAUUAUAGGAAGAUGAAUGAUCUUCUGAAUUCAUUUGCAGUUAACAGUGAGAAUGAUAAACCUCGUUGGAAACGAGUACUGGCAUUGGAUAGACACUCUCUUACCAAAUAAGAAGGGCUCACACAUGAUCGGGCUGGCGUCUAUCUGCUAGGCGAUCUGGAAGUCCCGGAAUAAGUGUUGUUUUGAAAAAAAAGCUAAUUGGAUCUCUGACGGAAAUUAUCUGCUUAGCGAGUUCUUUCUUAAAAUACUGGGCAGGUCUCCAGGUGGGACAAGACAAGGAAGAUCUGGAGAGUGGUGCAAUGGCGCUCCUCAAGACGGCAUUACACUUCCACGCACAAGCCCAAGACGAUGAAACAGGGUUGGUUCUUCUCCAGUGAUGCCCCCGACGUGAAGAUAGAAGUCUGCUCCCCCAUUAGUUAUGCUGAAAUGGGGUGUUUCUCUUCUUUGCUGUUUGCUUUUCUGAACCUGUAAGCGAGUCUGGUGUCAGCAGCUGGAUGUGAGACGGCUUGUUCUUCACUUAAACUGAGCGUUAAGACCUUCUGAGGUUGUUCCUGAAGACUUUGUAAUUUCGUUACCAAAAGUAA